GAUGAACGCUGGCUACAGGCUUAACACAUGCAAGUCGAGGGGAAACGACGGGGAAGCUUGCUUCCCCGGGCGUCGACCGGCGCACGGGUGAGUAACGCGUAUCCAACCUGCCUCUGACUGAGGGAUAACCCGUCGAAAGUCGGCCUAAUACCUCAUGGCAUCGUCUGCGGGCAUCCAACGACGAUUAAAGAUUUCAUCGGUCAGGGAUGGGGAUGCGUCUGAUUAGCUAGUUGGCGGGGUAACGGCCCACCAAGGCGACGAUCAGUAGGGGUUCUGAGAGGAAGGUCCCCCACAUUGGAACUGAGACACGGUCCAAACUCCUACGGGAGGCAGCAGUGAGGAAUAUUGGUCAAUGGGCGGGAGCCUGAACCAGCCAAGUAGCGUGCAGGAUGACGGCCCUAUGGGUUGUAAACUGCUUUUAUGCGGGGAUAAAGUGAGGGACGUGUCCUUCAUUGCAGGUACCGCAUGAAUAAGGACCGGCUAAUUCCGUG
rnacentral:rRNA from 1 species